UAACCUAUACACAAUAGAUACUCAUGCUUCUGGACAUUCAGGGCCUCACCUGACUCUGCUCAUAGGUGGCGUGGCCCCUCGAGCCCAGCUGCAUUUUCCUUGUACUUCUGUGUCCUGUCUCUUUAUUUCUCGGAUCCUACGCCUCAGCACAGCAUAAGGGACACCCCACGACCCUGUGGGCCAUCAGCCCUACAGGAAGUGGUAUCAUGUGACUUCAAAGAGCAAGUCACAAAAGGUGAUGUGGUUCUGUCUUGUCCUCUUGGGAUGGUCGUUCUUGGGACCCUGGCACUUUGCUGUGGGGAAGCAAAGACCACAUGGAGAGGUGUUUGGCCAACAGCCUAGAUGAAGUCCCAGCGUCACCUGCCACAUAGGCCCUCAACAGAUUGGAUGGUGUCCACCCACAUUGGUGAGGGGGAUCUUCCCUACUCAGCUACUGAUUGAAAUGCCAGUCUCUUCUGGAAACUUCUGCACAGACAUGCUCAGGAAUAAUACUGUAACUACCUAUCUCCGUUUCCCUUAAUCAGGCAAGUUGACACCUAAAAUGAACCAUCACAGCCACCAAAGAGUUUAUAUAAACCACAUGAAAUUGAUUGAUUGGACACAAGUUAGAACAAACACCGAAUAGUAAAAUAUCAAUGUAAGGCAGCAUGUAAACAUCAAAACCAUGGUUAGCAGUAUUUGCAUUGGGAAUAUCCAUGUGAGCAGGGGCAAUCAAGAGGGAAAUCUAUAGAGUUUCAUCAAUUUCGAGGAUGAACACUGGUCUGGAAAUGAAACCCGAGCUUCAGUCCAUUUUUCUGGUAUCCAGUUUUUAGCUUGAAUGGUCAACCUAGAUAAAAACCACAAUCCCUUAAACCUGAGAAAUGAAAGUGCUUUCAUGUGAAUGAUCUCAUUUGUUCCUCCCACUGUGUGUGUGUGUGUGUGUGUGGCAGGGACAGGAAAGGGUGAGAAAGUAGCAUGGAACUUUGUGGUGGUGAAGAGCAUGAUCUGCAUCAGAAAGACCUGAUUUAAGCCCUGGCUCUCUUUGAGCAAAUUAUUUUUACUUUUUCAGCUAUUAUUUCCUUAUCUGAAAAUCCGGAUUAAUUGUAACAGCACUUCUUUCAUGGGUUUGUUGUAAAAAUUAAGUGAACUAAUGUGGGUAAAAUA